rnacentral:rRNA from 1 species
GCAUAUCAAGAAGCGGAGGAAAAGAAACUAACAAGGAUUCCCCUAGUAACGGCGAGUGAAGCGGGAAGAGCUCAAAUUUGAAAGCUGGCGUCUUCGACGUCCGCAUUGUAAUCUCGAGAAGUGUUUUCCGUGUUGGACCAUGUACAAGUUCCUUGGAACAGGACGUCAUAGAGGGUGAGAAUCCCGUACUUGACAUGGAUGCCCAAUGCUUUGUGAUACGCUCUCCACGAGUCGAGUUGUUUGGGAAUGCAGCUCAAAAUGGGUGGUAAAUUCCAUCUAAAGCUAAAUAUUGGGGAGAGACCGAUAGCGAACAAGUACCGUGAGGGAAAGAUGAAAAGCACUUUGGAAAGAGAGUUAAACAGUACGUGAAAUUGUCGAAAGGGAAGCGCUUGAAGUCAGACAUGCUGCUGAGACUCAGCCUUGGUUUUCCUUGGUGUAUUUCUCAGUUGGCAGGCCAGCAUCAGUUUUGGCUGUUGGAUAAGGGUAGGAGGAAUGUGGCAUCCUCGGAUGUGUUAUAGCCUCUUACUGGAUACAACGGCUGGGACUGAGGAACGCAGUGUGCCUUCGGGCGGGUCUUCGGACACCUUCACACUUAGGAUGCUGGCGUAAUGGCUUUAAGCGACCCGUCUUGAAACACGGACCAAGGAGUCUAACAUGUUUGCGAGUCUUUGGGUGGUAAACCCGCAGGCGCAAUGAAAGUGAAUGCAGGUGGGAUCCGUAAGGAGCACCAUCGACCGAACCUGAUCUCUUGUGACGGUUUUGAGUAAGAGCACAUAUGUUGGGACCCGAAAGAUGGUGAACUAUGCCUGAGUAGGGCGAAGCCAGAGGAAACUCUGGUGGAGGCUCGUAGCGGUUCUGACGUGCAAAUCGAUCGUCAAACUUGGGUAUAGGGGGCGAAAGACUAAUCGAACCAUCUAAAUAGCUCGUUCUGCGAG